rnacentral:rRNA from 1 species
AUUGAACGCUGGCGGAAUGCUUUACACAUGCAAGUCGAACGGCAGCACGGGGGCAACCCGGGUGGCGAGUGGCGAAAGGGUGAGUAAUACAUCGGAACGAGCCUAGUCGGGGGGGAUAACUACGCGAAAGAGUAGCGAAUACCGCAUACGAACUCUGGUUGAAGGAGGGGGAGGGCAAGACCGCGCGCGAGGGGAGCGGUCGAUGGCAGAUUAGGUAGUUGGUGAGGUAAAGGCUCACCAAGCCGACGAUCUGUAGCUGGUCUGAGAGGACGACUCGCCACCCUGGAACUGAGCCACGGCCCAGACUCCUACGGGAGGCCGCAGUGGGGAAUUUUGGGCAAUGGGCGCAAGCCUGAUCCAGCCAUCCCGCGUGCAGGAUGAAGGCCCCCCGGUUGUAAACUCCUUUUUUGCGGUACGAAACGGUCCUGGUUAAUACCCGGCGUUAAUGACGGUACCGUAAAAAUAAGCACCGGCUAACUACGUG